CUGUCUCCUUGUUGAGACAAUGACUUUUGAAACUUGACCUCAAAUCAGGUAGGAUUACCCGCUGAACUUAANNNNNNNNNNNNNNNNNNNNNNNNNAACUAACAAGGAUUCCCCUAGUAACUGCGAGUGAAGCGGGAAAAGCUCAAAUUUAAAAUCUGGCAGUCUUUGGCUGUCCGAGUUGUAGUCUGGAGAAGCGCUUUCUGUGCUGGACCGUGUACAAGUCUCCUGGAAUGGAGCGUCAUAGAGGGUGAGAAUCCCGUCUUUGACACGGACUCCCAGUGCUCUGUGAUGCGCUCUCAAAGAGUCGAGUUGUUUGGGAAUGCAGCUCUAAAUGGGUGGUGAAUUCCAUCUAAAGCUAAAUAUUGGCGAGAGACCGAUAGCGAACAAGUACCGUGAGGGAAAGAUGAAAAGCACUUUGGAAAGAGAGUUAAACAGUACGUGAAAUUGUUGAAAGGGAAACGCUUGAAGUCAGUCGCGUCGGCCAGGACUCAACCUUGCAUUCAUGCCUGGUUUAUUUUCUGGUCGACGGGCCAGCAUCAGUUUUGGCUGCUGGAUAAUGGCUAGAGAAAUGUGGCACCCUCGGGUGUGUUAUAGUCUCUAGUCGGAUACGGUGGCUGGGACUGAGGACCGCAGCACUCGUGCUUAGGAUGCUGGCGUAAUGGCUUUAAACGACCCGUCUUGAAACACGGACCAAGGAGUCUAACAUGCCCGCGAGUGUUCGGGUGGCAAACCCGUGCGCGUAAUGAAAGUGAAAGUUGGGACCUCUGUCGUGGAGGGCACCGACGCCCGGACCAGACCUUCUGUGACGGAUCUGCGGUAGAGCGUGUAUGUUGGGACCCGAAAGAUGGUGAACUAUGCCUGAAUAGGGUGAAGCCAGAGGAAACUCUGGUGGAGGCUCGUAGCGAUUCUGACGUGCAAAUCGAUCGUCAAAUUUGGGUAUAGGGGCGAAAGACUAAU
rnacentral:rRNA from 1 species